rnacentral:SRP_RNA from 1 species
GGCGGGCCCCUGCGCAUUGUGGCUUGGUGAAUCUGGUCAGGUCGGGAACGAAGCAGCCAUGUCCAAAUACUGCAAGUGCCGCAGACAAGGCUCGCCUUU